AUGGCAGAUUGUGCAUGGAUGUAUAGUGGUUGGCAGUAUGGUCAAAUACCUUCUAACUUAUGGCUUGAACAAACCAACCGAUUUCUAGACCAUGCAUUCUCUUGUCCUGGUGUAGCCGAAUGUGGUAAAAUCAAGUGUCCAUGUGCUAAGUGUCAUAAUUAUAAUAAGCGCGGCAGGGAUGAGGUAGAGAAACACUUGUAUAAAUAUGGGUUUAGGGAAAACUAUGAAACGUGGAUAGAACAUGGUGAGAAGUAUGUUCCUAGCCAAGAUGGAUCUUCCUCUGCCACAAAUUGUGUGAGGCACGACGAAAUUGACCGAAUGGACAAUAUGUUAGUUGACCUAGGUGGCAACUGUCCUCCACCAAUUGAUGAAGAACCAACCUCCUCUGCCAAGGCUUUCUAUAGGAUGGUUAGCAGUGCUGAUGAAAUUGUCCAUGAGAACACAACACACUCACGUCUUUCUGCAGUAGCCCGUUUGCUAGCACUAAAAUCUCAGUAUAAUAUGUCAAUUGCAGAAUAUGAUGAUGUGUUACAAAUCAUCCAUGAACUUAUGCCUCCGGGUGCUAACUUGUCCAAGGACUUCUACCAAUCUAAGAAACUCUUAGAAGGCCUUGGUAUGCCUUAUGUCAAGAUUGAUGUCUGUAAAAAUAAUUGCAUGUUGUACUAUAAAGAUAAUGAGCAUAAAGAGAAGUGUGACAUCUGCGGUACAUCUCGCUACGAGGAAGGCCAGAAUAAAGUCCCACGUAAAGUGUUGAGAUAUCUCCCUCUGAAAGAUAGAUUAUAG
rnacentral:rRNA from 1 species